rnacentral:rRNA from 1 species
GGAAUAUUGCACAAUGGGCGCAAGCCUGAUGCAGCCAUGCCGCGUGUGUGAAGAAGGCCUUAGGGUUGUAAAGCACUUUCAGCGAGGAGGAAGGGUUCAGUGUUAAUAGCACUGUUCAUUGACGUUACUCGCAGAAGAAGCACCGGCUAACUCCGUGCCAGCAGCCGCGGUAAUACGGAGGGUGCAAGCGUUAAUCGGAAUUACUGGGCGUAAAGCGCACGCAGGCGGUUUGUUAAGUCAGAUGUGAAAUCCCCGAGCUUAACUUGGGAACUGCAUUUGAAACUGGCAAGCUAGAGUCUUGUAGAGGGGGGUAGAAUUCCAGGUGUAGCGGUGAAAUGCGUAGAGAUCUGGAGGAAUACCGGUGGCGAAGGCGGCCCCCUGGACAAAGACUGACGCUCAGGUGCGAAAGCGUGGGGAGCAAACAGGAUUAGAUACCCGAG